rnacentral:tRNA from 1 species
CAGCAGAGAUUCGAGUAUUUGAGCAAAGAAUCCAGCGGGAACCCUGAGACGAUGAGACGAGAUCGGCUGCAGCAGCCGCGGGUCCCCGUUAUGCAAGAGCGCGCAGCUGGCUCUGAUGGCAGUCAUUUCGCUCCCUAACCCAGCCGGCGGCCAGUCCCUAAUCUCCGAGUCCUGAGUUUGAGACCCAAAUUGAGCAGUUUGAGGGACGGCGGCGCAGCUUCCGCUCAGAACACGCCGCGCUCCGCCACUCCGGCUACUGAGGCACCUCGUCCUGCAAUCCAGGGCCCCACGGGCCUUCCGACCGACCUGCAAGCUCAAUCGACGUUGGCCCAACUUUCCUUUUGUCCACGUGGGAGCAGUAACAGGCUCCCCUUUUUCACCCAGCCUGGGAGUGUCAAUGGAGGCCUGGCCAUGGUCGGUGUAACCCUGAACCUCAACCCCACCUAGAACUGCCUUGAAGUCCCCUGCGCAGCAGCCACGAAGCUCCCAGCUGACGGCGUACAAUUCCCAACCCAUUUCUGCUGGCGGCACCGCAGGAUCUAAGGGAGGCAGCAUUGUCUCCUGGAAGUCUCCAAACGCAGGGUGCAGAAAGAGACCACACCUCCUAGCCACACCCAGAACUCUGAGUUCCAAGCCUCAGUCCCAGGGCCCCAGCCGCUGCGUCCCAGAGCCGGGACUCCAAGAGUGUGUCCGCAGAAAAAAGUGGGCUCGUCCGGGAUUUGAACCCGGGACCUCUCACACCCAAAGCGAGAAUCAUACCCCUAGACCAACGAGCCGCCCUAGAGGAAAAAGCUGACUAGGAUCCUUGCAGUUCUGAGCCCCCGGCUCCGCCCCGCCUGGGGCUGGCCU